rnacentral:tRNA from 1 species
CGACGUAGCUCAGUGGCAGAGCAGCUGAUUCGUAAUCAGCAGGUCCGGGGUUCAAGUCCCCGCGUC